UAAAGAGGAAAGAUUUGACUGAUUGCAACCUCUUAAAUCAAAAAGAAUUUGGUUUAAAAAAAUGCUAAAG
rnacentral:ncRNA from 1 species